rfam:Ornithorhynchus anatinus chromosome 3, whole genome shotgun sequence.
AGCAGCUUGGCUCAGUGGAAAGAGCACAAGCUUGGGAGUCAGAGGUCAUGGGUUCUAAUCCCAGAUCUGCUA